rnacentral:rRNA from 1 species
GAGUUUGAUCCUGGCUCAGGAUGAACGCUGGCGGCGUGCUUAACACAUGCAAGUCGAACGGGGCCACCAUUUUUGAAGCGAUUAGCUUGCUAAGAGUGGAAAUGUUGGCGGCUUAGUGGCGGACGGGUGAGUAACGCGUGGGUAACCUGCCUUGCACUGGGGGAUAACACUUAGAAAUAGGUGCUAAUACCGCAUAAGCGCACGGAGCUGCAUGGCUCAGUGUGAAAAACUCCGGUGGUGCAAGAUGGACCCGCGUCUGAUUAGCUUGUUGGCGGGGUAAUGGCCCACCAAGGCGACGAUCAGUAGCCGGCCUGAGAGGGUGGACGGCCACAUUGGGACUGAGACACGGCCCAGACUCCUGCGGGAGGCAGCAGUGGGGAAUAUUGCACAAUGGGGGAAACCCUGAUGCAGCGACGCCGCGUGAGUGAAGAAGUAUUUCGGUAUGUAAAGCUCUAUCAGCAGGGAAGAAAAUGACGGUACCUGAUUAAGAAGCCCCGGCUAACUACGUGCCAGCAGCCGCGGUAAUACGUAGGGGGCAAGCGUUAUCCGGAUUUACUGGGUGUAAAGGGAGCGUAGACGGUGAUGCAAGUCAGAAGUGAAAGCCCGGGGCUCAACUCCGGGACUGCUUUUG